GAUGAACGCUGGCGGCGUGCCUAAUACAUGCAAGUCGAGCGAACAGAUGAGGAGCUUGCUCCUCUGACGUUAGCGGCGGACGGGUGAGUAACACGUGGAUAACCUACCUAUAAGACUGGGAUAACUUCGGGACACCGGAGCUAAUACCGGAUAAUAAAUUGAACCACAUGGUUCAAUAGUGAAAGACGGUUUUGCUGUCACUUAAAGAUGGAUCCGCGCCGCAUUAGCUAGUUGGUAAGGUAACAGCUUACCAAGGCAACGAUGCGUAGCCGACCUGAGAGGUGGACCGGCCACACUGGAACUGGGACACGGUCCAGACUCCUCCGGGAGGCAGCAGAAGGGAAUCUUCCGCAAUGGGCGAAAGCUUGACGGAGCAACGCCGCGUGAGUGAUGAAGGUCUUCGGAUCGUAAGACUCUUUUAUCAGGGAAGAACAAAUGUGUAAGUAACUAUGCACGUCUUGACGGUACCUAAUCAGAAAGCCACGGCUAACUACGUG
rnacentral:rRNA from 1 species